AUAUAAGAUUAACGUCCAGUCAUUUUCAAAGCAGUAUGCCUGGUCUUUCAUUUCGGAUAAUUUAGUUUAUGUAAACAAGAUAGUUGAAUCGCAGAAUAGUGUUUCAAGUUUUUGCUCGUAAAAAAAAGCGGAGAGGACUGAUAUGCAGACCCGUGGACAUGUUUCAUCUGAAAUUGAACCUAGUGGAGUGAUGGCUUCUCAUUUGACUAUAGCAACUAACAACUGAAACACCAUAUCGUGUCUUACGACAUGGUAAACGACGUGAUAACAAAAAUCAAUU
rnacentral:lncRNA from 1 species